CCUCAUAUCAUUAGUUGCUUAAGCAGCUAGCUUAACUACUUUGUGAUACUGGGAAAUUGGGAAAUUAAAAACUUUCUUUUUCUGCUCCUCAGUUGAGCAUAGGAAGCAAGCAAAAGGUGUUUUUUUAAAGCCAAUUAAGGCAGCUCUAUACUUCUUAGAGAACAAUUUUUUAAAUUGAAAGCUGUCUCCCGAAAGUAAAAGGAGUUAAAAAGGAGACAGAGGGAGGAUUUUUUUCCCCUUUUCUUUUCUUAAAGGAGGUUGACCAAAUAAGGUUGUGUUGUGAAACUGUAACAAUGCAAAUGCGGUCUUUCCAAUAACAUUUUUGUGGUGUGCUGAAACACUGCAAGGAGACUUUGAGAAACAAGUCAGAGUUGCCAGGAAACAGGGUAAAUGUUGUCCAGCAACAAAUUCUAUAAAGUGGCAAAACAGUCUAGAGGUUUCCCCUUUUAAAGUUGUGCAUCUAAGUGGUAAUGUGUGAAUGAUAUAACCAGAGGUUUGAGAAGACAGGCCCUGUGCAAGGAGUCACAUCAGAGAGAUGGGAUCAGAUACAAUUCCCCGACAGCCCAAGUUUACACACCACCAGCUGUGGAAGGUAAAGCGCCAGGCCCACCACUGAGCCCCCAACCCAUUGUGCCCAGUGCUACCAAAGAAACAGAUGGAGUGGUGGCAUCCCCUAAUGUAUCAUAUUUAAUUUUGGAAAGGUGUUUGUUAAAAGACAUGUGCUUAAAGAACUGACUUGAGGCAUCAACCAACUAAUCAGCAGCACUACAUUUUGUUUUAACUUGAUACAGAUUAAACUGGAAAGACCACACCAUGACUGACACCUUCUAAAAACUAAUGUACAUCUAUUGUUUAUCACACAUGAUUUUAUAAAUUUAAUAAAAUUUAAG
rnacentral:lncRNA from 1 species